rnacentral:rRNA from 1 species
UACGGAGGUGGCAAGCGUUGCUCGGAAUCACUGGGCGUAAAGGGCGCGUAGGUGGUCUGAUAAGGGUGUGGUGAAAGCCCGGGGCUCAACCCCGGGAGGCGGAUGGAUACUGCAAGGCUCGAGUACGGAAGAGGCGAGUGGAAUUCCCGGUGUAGCGGUGAAAUGCGCAGAUAUCAGGAGGAACACCGGUGGCGAAGGCGGGUCUCUGGGCCGAUACUGACGCUGAGGAGCGAAAGCGUGGGGAGCGAACAGG